rnacentral:rRNA from 1 species
AUUGAACGCUGGCGGCAUGCCUUACACAUGCAAGUCGAACGGUAACGCGGGGCAACCUGGCGACGAGUGGCGAACGGGUGAGUAAUGCAUCGGAACGUGCCCAGUAGUGGGGGAUAGCCCGGCGAAAGCCGGAUUAAUACCGCAUACGACCUACGGGUGAAAGCGGGGGACCGUAAGGCCUCGCGCUAUUGGAGCGGCCGAUGUCAGAUUAGGUAGUUGGUGGGGUAAAGGCCUACCAAGCCUUCGAUCUGUAGCUGGUCUGAGAGGACGACCAGCCACACUGGGACUGAGACACGGCCCAGACUCCUACGGGAGGCAGCAGUGGGGAAUUUUGGACAAUGGGCGCAAGCCUGAUCCAGCCAUGCCGCGUGCGGGAAGAAGGCCUCGGUGUAACGAC